rnacentral:rRNA from 1 species
GUGGGGAAUCUUGCGCAAUGGGCGAAAGCCUGACGCAGCCAUGCCGCGUGAAUGAUGAAGGUCUUAGGAUUGUAAAAUUCUUUCACCGGGGACGAUAAUGACGGUACCCGGAGAAGAAGCUCCGGCUAACUUCGUGCCAGCAGCCGCGGUAAUACGAAGGGGGCUAGCGUUGCUCGGAAUUACUGGGCGUAAAGGGCGCGUAGGCGGACAGCUUAGUCAGAGGUGAAAGCCCAGGGCUCAACCUUGGAAUUGCCUUUGAUACUGGCUGUCUUGAGUAUGGGAGAGGUGAGUGGAACUCCGAGUGUAGAGGUGAAAUUCGUAGAUAUUCGGAAGAACACCAGUGGCGAAGGCGACUCACUGGCCCAAUACUGACGCUGAGGCGCGAAAGCGUGGGGAGCAAACAGGAUUAGAAACCCUUGUAGUCC